rnacentral:miRNA from 1 species
UGUACUAAUCCUCUUGGAAUGCAGCAAUUAUUACCUAUAGAUGGGUGUUAAAUACUGCAUUCAGAGGGGAUUAUCAGCUCUCCCUCCUCU